UUCCCCCAGUAGCGGCGAGCGAACGGGGAGGAGCCCAGAGCCUGAAUCAGUGUGUGUGUUAGUGGAAGCGUCUGGAAAGGCGCGCGAUACAGGGUGACAGCCCCGUACACAAAAAUGCACAUGCUGUGAGCUCGAUGAGUAGGGCGGGACACGUGGUAUCCUGUCUGAAUAUGGGGGGACCAUCCUCCAAGGCUAAAUACUCCUGACUGACCGAUAGUGAACCAGUACCGUGAGGGAAAGGCGAAAAGAACCCCGGCGAGGGGAGUGAAAAAGAACCUGAAACCGUGUACGUACAAGCAGUGGGAGCACAGAGCAAUCUGUGUGACUGCGUACCUUUUGUAUAAUGGGUCAGCGACUUAUAUUCUGUAGCAAGGUUAACCGAAUAGGGGAGCCGAAGGGAAACCGAGUCUUAACUGGGCGUUAAGUUGCAGGGUAUAGACCCGAAACCCGGUGAUCUAGCCAUGGGCAGGUUGAAGGUUGGGUAACACUAACUGGAGGACCGAACCGACUAAUGUUGAAAAAUUAGCGGAUGACUUGUGGCUGGGGGUGAAAGGCCAAUCAAACCGGGAGAUAGCUGGUUCUCCCCGAAAGCUAUUUAGGUAGCGCCUCGUGAAUUCAUCUCCGGGGGUAGAGCACUGUUUCGGCAAGGGGGUCAUCCCGACUUACCAACCCGAUGCAAACUGCGAAUACCGGAGAAUGUUAUCACGGGAGACACACGGCGGGUGCUAACGUCCGUCGUGAAGAGGGAAACAACCCAGACCGCCAGCUAAGGUCCCAAAGUCAUGGUUAAGUGGGAAACGAUGUGGGAAGGCCCAGACAGCCAGGAUGUUGGCUUAGAAGCAGCCAUCAUUUAAAGAAAGCGUAAUAGCUCACUGGUCGAGUCGGCCUGCGCGGAAGAUGUAACGGGGCUAAACCAUG
rnacentral:rRNA from 1 species